rnacentral:lncRNA from 1 species
CACUUUCUUGAGGCCAGAUCUUUCACAAUGAAGAAAAGAUAGAAAGACAGUCUGGGAGCUUCCCGCCAAUUGUGGGUUUUUAUUUUAUUUGAGAGAGAGAGAAAGAGAGAGAGAGCGCGAGUAGAGACCCUGUGCUGGGGAGGGGGAGCGAGCGUUGGGUCCUGGGACCACUUUACCCAGUGUGGCUUUUUGCUCUGGGCUUUGAAACCGUGCUAGGUCGUUUUCCAAAUGCAAGCCCACCUGUCUUAACCAACAGCUUCAUUUUCCAUCCCAACACUUCUCCUGUCCUCUUGCCCCCCAUAGUCCCCCUCCCAGCUCUGCAAACUCAGGAAAGGGGAGGCAGGGAUCCUCUUCCCCAUCUGCCUCUUAGUUUGUUCUCCAGAACCAGGAGAUUUAAGGGACCCUGGAAAGCCAUCCAUCCUCCUCAGGUUUAUUUAAUAUUUCUCAGGCUCAGAAACAGAUACCUACCUCCCCGGUAGAUGUUGCCUUUUUUUUUUUUAAGGCAGUUUAUUUCCUAGGCCUCCCAGACUUUCCCCACAAACCAGCAGAAGCCAACGUAGGUGGUGACUUGGAACUCUAGGCAAACCCACUGCAUUUCUUUUUUCCACGGGUCCCUCAGUGUGGGAAGUAUACACGUUUUACUCAGCUGGCAUUUAAUCCCUUAAACUGUCUUAAUAUAGAAUUCACCUCAUGAAUUAAAUAAUCUUAUGUCAUGUUAAAUUGCACUUAUUUCUCUCAUAAAUAAAUUAAUAUAGAACAAUUAGAUGUGUUAUUAUAAUAAUAUCGUGUAUCUUAUUAGUUUAUUUUCUCUCAUAAAAUAUAUAGGUAUGAAAUAAAUUUAAUAUAUUAAAGUAAUAAUACACAGCUUAUUGGCUUGUGUGUUUAUUUUCCUCAUAAAUAAGUGAAUAUAUAAUAUAUUAAAACCACACUAUACAUC